rnacentral:rRNA from 1 species
AGACUGGGAUAACUCCGGGAAACCGGGGCUAAUACCGGAUGGUUGUCUGAACCGCAUGGUUCAGAAAUAAAAGGUGGCUUCGGCUACCACUUACAGAUGGACCCGCGGCGCAUUAGCUAGUUGGUGAGGUAACGGCUCACCAAGGCGACGAUGCGUAGCCGACCUGAGAGGGUGAUCGGCCACACUGGGACUGAGACACGGCCCAGACUCCUACGGGAGGCAGCAGUAGGGAAUCUUCCGCAAUGGACGAAAGUCUGACGGAGCAACGCCGCGUGAGUGAUGAAGGUUUUCGGAUCGUAAAGCUCUGUUGUUAGGGAAGAACAAGUGCCGUUCAAAUAGGGCGGCACCUUGACGGUACCUAACCAGAAAGCCACGGCUAACUACGUGCCAGCAGCCGCGGUAAUACGUAGGUGGCAAGCGUUGUCCGGAAUUAUUGGGCGUAAAGGGCUCGCAGGCGGUUUCUUAAGUCUGAUGUGAAAGCCCCCGGCUCAACCGGGGAGGGUCAUUGGAAACUGGGGAACUUGAGUGCAGAAGAGGAGAGUGGAAUUCCACGUGUAGCGGUGAAAUGCGUAGAGAUGUGGAGGAACACCAGUGGCGAAGGCGACUCUCUGGUCUGUAACUGACGCUGAGGAGCGAAAGCGUGGGGAGCGAACAGGAUUAGAUACCCUGGUAGUCCACGCCGUAAACGAUGAGUGCUAAGUGUUAGGGGGUUUCCGCCCCUUAGUGCUGCAG